UGUGUGUGAAGCAAACCUAACACUGCCCAUUCCUCAACAAACUCCAUCCUAACAGUGAAGUACACUGUUGACCAAAAGCUUGUGGACACCUGACCAUCAAACCCAUAUGGGGGUCUUCCCCAAAUUGUUGGCACAAAAUUGGAAGCACACAAUUUUACAACCCCCAUAUGACAGGAGUGAAACAUACCUCAAACAAAUUAAAUGAAGUUGUUUUAUGUAAGGUUGUUUUCAUUUUUUUGUUGAUGAUUCCAUAAUUUUUUCCUCAACAUUGAGUGAUUCCAUAUUUUUUUCCUCUACUUGAUCUGGAACAAAAACGUGCCAUUAAUUAAAAUUAUUUCAUUUAAUUUGUUUGACGUAUGUUUCACGAAGCCAGAAUGUUCAGCAAUUAAACAAAAAAUGUUUUCUGUCAAGAAAGUAAAAAUGGCAACAAUUUAUUACCUAUUUCAAUGAUGUACGCAUCCUGGAGGUGGAUUGAGUGAAGGUAGACGGUAAAUACUAAUCAUCUUACUUUUAAUCUUUUUUUUUAAUUGUUUGUUUGUUUUUUGGUUUGUUUGUUUGUUUUUGUUUUUGUUUUUGUUUGUUUGUUUGUUGUGUUUUUUCCCCCCUUUCUUUUGGUUUUGGCUGUGAUUAUUUUGUUGGGGCCAGGUAUGGUGGGGUUGUUGGAUGGGGUGUUAUAAUAUGUAAAAUGCGGUUUUCCAAUAAAAAUUCUAUGAUAAAUUUUUUUUUUAAAAAUAGACCAUUGGUGUACACUGACUAUAAUCAGGGGCAGAGCUAGGGGGUGGAAAGUUGUGGCCAUGGCCACCAUGGACUGAAGCCUGGCCCCAUUGGCCACCCAAGUUGCAACUGCAUUUUCAGGCCUUUUUGUCUUAAGAAUAAUUAAUGUUUCUUAGUGAUAGAUUAAUCUCUUUACUGCCACAACACAUAAUGUUUCUCCAACUUGGACUGUGUGUUUUACGGCAAAUCUAUGAACCCACCUUUGCUGUAAAACAUUUGUGAGAUUCAUCUUCAUGGUGUUUAAUAGAAGACUAUAAGCUCUUGCGAGAGUUUCUGCAGUCCAUGUUUCAACGAGCCAGUGGAAGUCCUACCCUUAUUGUAUGAGUGCGUCAUUACAGGUGAGCUAAAAUCAUCCAUCCAUCCAUCCAUCCAUCUUCUACACCGCUUAUCCUUUUGAGGGUCAUGGGGAAACCAGAAGCCUAUCCCAGAAAGCAUCGGGCACAAGGCGGGGUACACCCUGGACAGGGUGCCAAUCUGAGCUAAAAUCAACAAAUUUUUAUUGUUUUUAAUGCUUUGUAAAAAAAAAUUUUUUUACUAAAAUAGCUGAACAUUGGAGAUUGAACUGUUAAUGCAUGGUGCCUUAUUGCUCAAAUCAACAUAAAAUUCAUUGGUUUUUUAGUGACAUUCACCCAGAUUUCUGGAGACACAAGACGUCUCUCUAAAAUGCUUCAGUCUCUAUCUCUUAUUUUGGGCUCAGCUGGGGAUCUAGUUGAAGCCCUUAUGCAUCGUUUUCACAAUUAAAGGGAUGAAUCCUACUUUUGAGGACUUUGGAAAGAUGUCUUAAAUACUGCUGAACAAUGCAAUGUUAAGACUUAACCAAUUCCUAAAAGAAAGUCAAAACCAAGAAUAAAGCUGCAAGGAUACAGGAUACAUAAUGGCUUAUUAAGUGAGCGUUUUGAGAUUACAAAGGACAACUUUUGCACCGGUACAUUCUACCCUCGUCUCGAUUAUAUGCUGAGUGAGCUAAACAGACGAUUCUCAAAAGAAAAUGGUGAAAUUAUGAUGGGAAUCCAAGUGUUAAAUCCCAAAAGUGCCAUUUUUUGCCAAGAAGAAGCACUGUUUUCCUUUGACUCUGUUUAUGAAUGCAACACUAGAGACCUCAGACAUGAAGUUCACCAAAUGAAAUGAAUUCUGGAGAGGAAAGUGCAAGCUGGCAUACAGAAGAACUAGUGUAAUAGAACUAACUCACUCUGCUUACUGAGGCUUUUAAAGAAGUAUUCCAUGAGCUUUUUAGAUUGUACAAGAUUGCAGUUGCCAUACCUGUGAGUGCAGCUGCAUGUACACGCAGCUUCUCCACUCUCAAGCUGGUUAAGACUUACCUGCAUUCAACCAUGGAUGAUGAUAGGCUGAGCAAAGUCCUUGAACCUAGAUGAGUUUGUGAAUAUCUUUGCUUUAAACAACAACAAUCACAGAAUCCAGCUGAUGAAGUUGAAAAUUGAAGAUAGUGUGAUUUGUCAUUGGUUUAAUCAACAACGAUAUGAACAGAUUUGAAUUCAAUACGGAGUUGACAGGCUUUUGUGGUCUUUUUAAAAUGAUGCUUUUGCAGCUUUGGGAGAUAUUACACUUAUUCUGAACCCAGAAAUCAUAUGAAAGAUUUCGGAUCCUAUGUAGUUUUUCGCUCUAACAGCACCAUAAGUUAACCAGAAGAUUUUGAGCAUAAUGACUUUCUUUCAUGAAACACAAAAGGAUAUGUAAGGCAGAAUGUUAGUCUCAAAUCACUAUUGUGACUGAGGUUAACAUUCUGCCUUACAUCUCUUUUUGGGUUUCACGGAGGAAGUACAUCAUACGGGCUUGGAACAAUUUUCAUUUUUGUGUGAACUAUCACUUUAUUUACAAACAAGUACGAUUAAUUAUUUUUGUUUGUACUAUGUGCACCUAAAAAAGCUUAGAAUUUUAAGGUUGAACACAUUCUUUUAUUUGUAAAAUGACAUUUUCUGUACCACCCCGGAGUGACUGCUGGCCGGUGACUGGCCACCCCUGCAAAAACUUAUAGUUAUUCAGUUCUUCUCUGCAGACUCCUUCAGCUCCCAGUCUGAGGUAUUGUACAGUGCUGCAGCUGACACACACACACACACACACACACACACACACACACACACACACACACACACACACACACUUCUUUACAAGCUCUACUGUUUAGUUUUGUUUCUCUAUUUCUAGUCAGUGGACAUCAGGAGAGACUUCCUUGGCAUGAUAAGGGGUCCAGAGACUCGACUCUAUACUGGUUUGAAACCACAGAGACACAACGCCUGCAUCACAAGGGAUUCCCUUAUUCUACCAAUGCAGAGAACUGUUUCACUGGCAUACAGGUCGUUGAGCCAAAACUGCAGCUGCUGCCCACUGAACCUCAUCACGACCCUUCAGCUGUCGUUCUGCCUCUCAGUGCCGGUGAAAUGAGCAGCGCCCGGCGCAAUGUUCAGUUCCUCUCUGCAGACUCCUUCAGCUUCCAGCAGUCUGGGGUAUUGUACAGUGCUGCAGCUGACACACACACUGGAGACUGUCACCGUGGAACUUGAGGACUAUGUGCAACUCUUGAAAAAGGUGACCUGCACUUUCCUGUAUGCGGGUCCAGGUGGUCAGGUGGACACCUCCACUUGGGUGCAGGAAGAGAAUUGUUGCUCUCCAGACAGUGAUGCAGAAAGUGAACCAGGCUGGGAGGUAAUUCCAUGUUUCAGACCCGAUGUGUAUCUACGCUGCUUUUCCCCUGAAUGUGCGUCUGUAAAAUUUACUGUGGGAGGUUUAAUGAUUCAUUGCUCAUUUGACUCGCAGGAGACUGAGCAGGGCCUCACGCCAGAAGAUGGAGGUGCCCUUUAUUAGAUGCUCUAUUAGUGAAACACUAGAGUUGCUUUAUUAUAGAAAGCAAAUCAGUUCUCAAUGUCCAUCACUAUUCAUCAAAACACAUAUUAAAAACAAAAACAUAUAUUAAAAGGUCUUCAUGGAACAGCUUCAUCCAAUCAUAAUUCCUACAUCUUCCUCCAAGUGGAUUUACCUUAUAUUGUGCAUGUGUAUGGAUCAUGAAGACCUCACAGCUCCAAGAUUCCCGAUUCGAUCCUGAGCUCAGGAUACUGUUUACUGUUUACUGACCGUCCCAGCAAAUUCAGUCCAUAAUCAGAAAGAGAUUGUGCAAAUGUGACCUGCAUGGGAGGCGAGCCAGUUUGCCAAUGAGCAUAUAGGCAAAGACCAGGCCUUUUAGAAUAAUGUGCUCUGGACAGACGCAUCAAAGAUAGAGUUGUUUGGCAACAAUAAUAGUGGACAUGUUUGGUGCAGACUAGGGCUGCACAAUUAAUCGGAUAUAGAUCACGAUUACGAUUUUGACUGCCCAUGAUUACAUGAACAUGAUCGGCUGCGAUAUUAACGUUUAAAGUUCGUCCUCCGCUCAUAGAAAACUCACAUAGAGCGGCGCAGUGGUGACGUCGUUUUGUAGUGCCAAACCCGGAAACAGUUAACAUUUUAGCGCUCGAGCUGCCAAUUUCGCUUCGAGCUCCAGUACUUGUGCGAGGGAAAAUCAUGACAUUAACAUGAUGCUAAAUGGCACUACAGAGGUUGUCGGGGACAUUAAAAGUUAUCACGCUGAACAGGGAAAAACUUUGCAGGUAAACUCAGGGCUCUACAGUGGGACCAUUUCACUCGUAUUUGCGACUGAAGAGUAUUUUGUGCGACUGUGAAUAAAUAUUUAUUCGGACCGGUUCGAGUGACCUGUUAUGAGUUGUAUAAUACAAUCGGAAUAAAAACUACAGGAAGUCCAAAAUGCAUCUACAUCAGUUACUUUCACACUGCUUUUCAUCUCGUCAGUCAACGAAUAAGUGUGUGAAUACUGCAGAGAAGCCAUUAUGAUGACAAGAGUAACACCGAACAUCAUCUGCUUCUCUCAACUUCCCAACCUCACAACCGCCGUCUUAUAUUGAUCCCGCAAAAUGACCUGCACCUACUCGUGUAGACACAGCGGCGUUGGGCGGAGCAAAUUAAUAAUAAUGCCAACGCUAAUAUGGAGCAUGCUUGUGUUAAUCUACUUUUAAUUAGGACUAUUGUUUAAGAUUUUUUAAAAUAAAUAUUUUUAUUAUGCUUGUUUAUUUAUCAAUUAACCAACAGUAUUUCUCAUUGCUAUUAUUUUAACUCAAUUAACAGUGACCGUGAGCAGAGAGCUUACAUUUAACUGUUUAUGACAGACUUCCUGAUUAAAGUUUAAACAAAAAAGAUUGGUAUCUGGAUCGGUUUCGGUCGAAAAAAUUCUGAUCGGAGCAUCCCUAAUGAACACCAUUAAACUAAAGCGCUUUGCAUCUGACGGGUAAAUGAACUCACCCAAUCACAUCCUAUAUCAGAUUAUUCAGAUAUAUACACAAUAUACACAGAACGGUUCGAGACCUGACUCCAGCCCAGAACCAUGACAGUGGAAAAUGUCUAAUAGUGUAGCUUUAAAUAUAUUUAAGAGGAGCAGACUGCAAACACUGAACACUGAUGUUUAUUGUAUUAGUUUACAAGGUGGACAUGGUAGCAGUGUUUUUUUUUGCAUACAGUCUGUAAAUGAACUGAAAAUAUUAAAUUUAGUUUAUCAGAAGGUAAAUUAAUUUGUUAUAGCUCACACUAUGUUCCUAAAUUCUGUCAUAACUAACCAGCUCAAGUUUCGUCAUGCCUACUUGUGUGUUAUAUUGUGGCACAUUAACGCUACAAUCUCUAAAAAAAAAAAAAAAAAAAUUGUAAUUAGGUGCACAAGUGCUCCUAAAAGAAACUGUCUUGCGUCUCUCCUCCUGUAAACGCUGUUAUUGCCUUUUCUGCAUAGGAAGCUGAAAUGUCACAUGUAAACAUAAUUAGAAUAUUAUUGUGGUAUGUGACAUACCUUACUGUGAAUUUAAUCUUGGCAGUUGACAUUACACUGAUUAAAAAAGCCAGAUAACACUGCUGAUAAAGUCGAAUAAAAAACACACUUAGAGGAACACUUUCUACUGAAUAAGACUGGAAUUUAUUUCUCUCAGGCAAUCUCAAUUUGCCUGAGAUAUGAAAACUGCAGAACAGAGUAAUGCAAUGGAGGUUUCAGCCCUGUGUGUAUUUCCCUACAUGAAUUUUCUGACAUACGAUAACAGCUAAGCAUUAUAACCAUAAAACCUGGAAACAUGCAUUUUAGAGAUUCAAUGUUUCUGAUUACUUAGCAAAAAAUUUCGGCUAGAAGGGGAGCGGAUUAAUGAGAAGCUUGUGAAACAUUUUUACAAUGUUAUAGAAAAAUGUCACGGUAUAAAAAUUCCUUCUAAUCAACAGUUAAAAACACAUGCAAUGCUGUUAGG